rnacentral:rRNA from 1 species
CCUACGGGAGGCAGCAGUGAGGAAUAUUGGUCAAUGGUCGGGAGACUGAACCAGCCAAGCCGCGUGAGGGAGGAAGGUACAGAGUAUCGUAAACCUCUUUUGUCAGGGAACAAAGGCGGGGACGUGUCCCCGGAUGAGUGUACCUGAAGAAAAAGCAUCGGCUAACUCCGUGCCAGCAGCCGCGGUAAUACGGAGGAUGCGAGCGUUAUCCGGAUUUAUUGGGUUUAAAGGGUGCGCAGGCGGUCUGUUAAGUCAGCGGUAAAAGCCCGGGGCUCAACCCCGGCCCGCCGUUGAAACUGGCAGUCUCGAGUGGGAGAGAGGUAUGCGGAAUGCGCGGUGUAGCGGUGAAAUGCAUAGAUAUCGCGAAGAACUCCGAUUGCGAAGGCAGCAUGCCGGCUCCACACUGACGCUGAGGCACGAAAGCGUGGGUAUCGAACAGGAUUAGAUACCCUAGUAGUC